UGUGUGUGUAUGUGUGUCUUGUGUGUGCAAGCGCGCACACGCGCACACACACACACACACACACACACACACACACACACACACAGAGA
rnacentral:miRNA from 1 species